UUAGGAUUGCCUAUGGGGCAGCAAAAGGGCUUGAGUUUCUGCAUGAAAAGUUGUCAUCUCUGCAGUGACCAAGGAAGGAGUGAAGUUCUCCACAAGGGGUGAUAUUGGAACUGCAAUUAUUGUUUGCAAGUAGAAUAUAUAACACAGUAGACAAGUGGAGGAUGAUUGGAGAACUCAUCUCUCACCGCAAUUGAUUUGGGAAGAUGAGAAAUCUAGGGCUCAAGCCAUGUCAUGAGAAUGAGG